GACGAACGCUGGCGGCGUGCCUAACACAUGCAAGUCGAACGGAAAGGCCCUGCUUGCAGGGUACUCGAGUGGCGAACGGGUGAGUAACACGUGGGUGUUCUGCCCUGCACUUCGGGAUAAGCCCGGGAAACUGGGUCUAAUACCGGAUAGGAGCCAUUUUUAGUGUGAUGGUUGGAAAGUUGUUUCGGUGUAGGAUGAGCUCGCGGCCUAUCAGCUUGUUGGUGGGGUAAUGGCCUACCAAGGCGGCGACGCGUAGCUGGCCUGAGUGGGUGGACGGCCACAUUGAGACUGAGAUACGGCCCAGGCUCCGACGGGAGGCAGAGGUGGGGAAGAUUGCUCAAGGAGCGCAGGCCUGAUGCAGCGACGCCGCGUGGGGGAGGACGAUCUUCGGGUUGUGGACGCCUAGCGCUUGGAACGAAGCUUUUUGUGACGGUACCUAGAUAAGAAGCACCGGCUAACUACGUG
rnacentral:rRNA from 1 species